UGGGGAAUCUUGCACAAUGGGGGCAACCCUGAUGCAGCGACGCCGCGUGAGCGAUGAAGCCCUUCGGGGCGUAAAGCUCUUUCGACCGGAACGAUAAUGACGGUACCGGGAGAAGAAGCUGCGGCUAACUACGUGCCAGCAGCCGCGGUAAUACGUAGGCAGCAAGCGUUGUUCGGAGUUACUGGGCGUAAAGAGUGCGUAGGCGGUUUUCUAAGUUCGGUGUGAAAUCUCCCGGCUUAACUGGGAGGGUGCGCCGAAGACUGGGAAGCUGGAGUGUGGGAAAGGCAGGCGGAAUUCCUGGUGUUGCGGUGAAAUGCGUAGAUAUCAGGAGGAACACCGGCGGUGUAGACGGCUUGCUAGACCAUAACUGACGCUGAGGCACGAAAGCGUGGGUAGCAAACA
rnacentral:rRNA from 1 species